GUGCAGCCCUAAGUGGGUGGUAAACUCCAUCUAAGGCUAAAUAUGACCACGAGACCGAUAGCGAACAAGUACCGUGAGGGAAAGUUGAAAAGCACUUUGAAGAGAGAGUUCAAGAGUACGUGAAACCGUUUAGGGGUAAACCUGAGAAACCCGAAAGGUCGAAGGGAGAAAUUCAUUCGCGUUUCGCAGUCGGCGUGAGGCGAUCGAGUGACGGAACGCGUCUUCGGACGUUUUCUGCACCUUUUGUUUUUCGAUCCGAUAGCGAACGCGUGCACUUUUCUCCUGGUAGGACGUCGCGAUCCGUUGGGUGUCGGUCUACGGCUCACGGUGGAGCCCGGAUGUACGGCUUGCCGUCACGUCCGGACCCGUGUGUCCCGGCUGACUCGCUCGACGGUAUACGAAUG
rnacentral:rRNA from 1 species